UACCCACGAUGAGGACAAGCAUUCAAUAAGUCUUUAAACAUUUUCCAACACUAAUAAAAGGUCUCACUAUCUUUGUGCCAAAAAUUCAUGAUCUGCCUUUUUAGGGU